GACGAAGGAUGCAAGCGUUAUCCGGAUUCAUUGGGUUUAAAGGGAGCGUAGGCGGCCUUGUAAGUCAGUGGUGAAAUCUGUGGGCUUAACCCACAAACUGCCAUUGAUACUGCAAGUCUUGAGUACAGUUGCCGUUGGCGGAAUAUGACAUGUAGUGGUGAAAUACUUAGAUAUGUCAUAGAACACCGAUUGCGAAGGCAGCUAACGAAGCUGUAACUGACGCUGAGGCUCGAAAGUGCGGGGAUCAAACAGG
rnacentral:rRNA from 1 species